rnacentral:rRNA from 1 species
GUGUUCUCUAAUACAAACCCUCCCUGUGUACCAAUCCGUGUUGCUUUCCCAGGUGGUUGGUUUCGGUCAAUGUCCAAUCCUGCAUGCUAGUUGAGUUAACAUCACUAAGCGGGUCCCUGGGAAAGGGCCUUACCAAUGCAAAUAUUUGAAUCAGCUGUCUGAGUUGGCCCAGUGCCGUAUUAUUUGAAUAAGUUAAAACUUUCAACAACGGAUCUCUUGGCUCUCGCAUCGAUGAAGAACGCAGCGAAAUGCGAUAAGUAAUGUGAAUUGCAGAAUUCAGUGAAUCAUCGAAUCUUUGAACGCACAUUGCGCCCCUUGGCAUUCCUUGGGGCAUGCCUGUUCGAGCGUCACUGCAAACCCGCUCAUAAAUAUUAUGGUAAUGAUGGAAGUGAAGUGAGGACACUAAUAUGCCUCGGUCACCCCAUUGAAAUGUAUUGGCAGGACAAUCAACCUCUGCAAUGGACUUAGUAACUGUUUUGAAGACAUCAAUCAGUCAAUUGUGAGGUUUUG